rnacentral:rRNA from 1 species
GACGAACGCUGGCGGCGUGCUUAACACAUGCAAGUCGAACGGAAAGGCCCUGCUUUUGUGGGGUGCUCGAGUGGCGAACGGGUGAGUAACACGUGAGUAACCUGCCCUUGACUUUGGGAUAACUUCAGGAAACUGGGGCUAAUACCGGAUAGGAGCUCCUGCUGCAUGGUGGGGGUUGGAAAGUUUCGGCGGUUGGGGAUGGACUCGCGGCUUAUCAGCUUGUUGGUGGGGUAGUGGCUUACCAAGGCUUUGACAGGUAGCCGGCCUGUGAGGGUGACCGGCCACAUUGGGACUGAGGUACGGCCCAGACUCCUACGGGAGGCAGCAGUGGGGAAUAUUGCACAAUGGGCGGAAGCCUGAUGCAGCAACGCCGCGUGCUGGAUGAAGGCCUUCGGGUUGUAAACCGCUUUCGCCUGUGACGAAGCGUGAGUGACGGUAAUGGGUAAAGAAGCACCGGCUAACUACGUG